rnacentral:rRNA from 1 species
GACGAACGCUGGCGGCGUGCCUAAUACAUGCAAGUCGAACGCAGUGGGGACGGGUGAGUAACACGUGGGUAACCUCCCAUCAGAGGGGAUAACACUUGGCAACAGGUGCUAAACCGAUAUUGAUUGAUGGCCCCGCGGUGCAUUAGCUAGUUGGUGAGGUAACGGCUCACCAAGGCCACGAUGCAUAGCCGACCUGAGAGGGUGAGCGGCCACAAGGGGACUGAGACACGGCCCAGACUCCGACGGGAGGCAGCAGUAGGGAAUCUUCGGCAAUGGACGAAAGGCUGACCGAGCAACGCCGCGUGAGUGAAGAAGGUGUUCGGAUCGUAAAACUCUGUUGUUAGAGAAGCGGUAUCUAACCAGAAAGCAACGGCUAACUACGUGCCAGCAGCCGCGGUAAUAC